rnacentral:rRNA from 1 species
UACGUAGGGGGCUAGCGUUGUCCGGAAUCAUUGGGCGUAAAGCGCGUGUAGGCGGUUCGGUAAGUCCGCUGUGAAAGUCGGGGGCUCAACCCUCGAAAGCCGGUGGAUACUGUCGGACUAGAGUACGGAAGAGGCGAGUGGAAUUCCUGGUGUAGCGGUGAAAUGCGUAGAUAUCAGGAGGAACACCUGUGGUGUAGACAGCUUACUGGACCAUAACUGACGCUGAGGCACGAAAGCGUGGGUAGCAAACAGG